rnacentral:rRNA from 1 species
GGAGCCGUAGCGAAAGCGAGUUUUAACUGAGCGUUCAGUUACUUGACGUAGACCCGAAACCGGGCGACCUACCCAUGAGCAGGAUGAAGCGAAAGUAAAAUUUCGUGGAGGUCCGAACCCACGAGCGUUGAAAAGCUCGGGGAUGACUUGUGGGUAGCGGUGAAAUUCCAAUCGAGCCCGGAGAUAGCUGGUUCUCCCCGAAAUAGCUUUAGGGCUAGCCUCAAGGUGAGAGAUAC